rnacentral:rRNA from 1 species
AUUGAACGCUGGCGGCAGGCCUAACACAUGCAAGUCGAACGAGUGGCGGACGGGUGAGUAAUGUCUGGGAAACUGCCCGAUGGAGGGGGGUAACUACUGGAAACGGUAGCUAAUACCGCAUACCAUCGGAUGUGCCCAGAUGGGAUGAGCUAGUAGGUGGGGUAACGGCUCACCUAGGCGACGAUCCCUAGCUGGGCUGAGAGGAUGACCAGCCAAACUGAAACUGAGACACGGUCCAACCUCCUAAGGGAGGCAGCAGUAGGGAAUAUUGCACAAUGGGCGCAAGCCUGAUGCAGCCAUGCCGCGUGUAUGAAGAAGGCCUUCGGGUUGUAAAGUACUUUAAGCGAGGAGGGGUUACUCGCAGAAGAAGCACCGGCUAACUCCGUGCCAGCAGCCGCGGUAAUUC